CUUGCUUUCUUUGCUGGCGACCGGCGCACGGGUGAGUAACACGUAUCCAACCUGCCCUUUACUCGGGGAUAGCCUUUCGAAAGAAAGAUUAAUACCCGAUAGUAUAAUGAUUCCGCAUGGUUUCAUUAUUAAAGGAUUCCGGUAAAGGAUGGGGAUGCGUUCCAUUAGGUUGUUGGUGAGGUAACGGCUCACCAAGCCUUCGAUGGAUAGGGGUUCUGAGAGGGAGGUCCCCCACAUUGGAACUGAGACACGGUCCAAACUCCUACGGGAGGCAGCAUG
rnacentral:rRNA from 1 species